rnacentral:sRNA from 1 species
AUGUUCACCAACAAUAUGUGUUGGUCAAAAGUUUAGCGCAGGCUCUAUGAAAGGAGCCGUUUCCCCUAGGCCCAAAAUAAGGACGAGUUUGGGCCAUUUUUU